GACGAACGCUGGCGGCGCGCUUAACACAUGCAAGUCGAGCGAUAACCAUGGCUUCGGCCAUGGGGACAGCGGCGAACGGGUGAGUAACACGUGGGCAAUCUGCCCUCGGCACUGGGAUAGCCCGGGGAAACCCGGAUUAAUACCGGAUAGCCUCUCGAGCUCUUGGGCUCGUGAGAAAAGAUAGCUUCGGCUUUCGGCUGAGGAGGAGCCUGCGGCGGAUUAGCUUGUUGGCGGGGUAACGGCCCACCAAGGCGACGAUCCGUAGCUGGUCUGAGAGGACGAUCAGCCACACUGGGACUGAGACACGGCCCAGACUCCUACGGGA
rnacentral:rRNA from 1 species